GCAUGCGGUGUUGAGUCAAUGUGUUUUGUCCUGCAGCCCCACUGAUAUGCAGUCCCGUCGUCAUCGACUUUCGGAAUCGUCGGCAAUAAUAAAAACUGCAGCUUUUCGAACAGAUGGGAAACGUCGACUGAAGACUAUAAAAACAGUUACCCUUCUGGGCUUUGGUGUGACAACCGAAAUUCGUCGCGUGCUUGCGUCCUCUGCGGUGUUCCAGCGACAGAGAUGAGAACUUAUUGCAGAGCAUCAGAGGGUUACCGAUCAUGAUAUGAUGUCGGUUGCAAUCACCUUCCGAGUAACACAGUCGUCGUAAUGUUCGCGGUUUUGCGUCUCCUCACGGGGAUGACCGAGCUGAUCGACCUAUGGGGGGCAAUGUCAGUAGGCCUCUUCGUGGCGUCCCAUGGAAAUGCUCGGGAGCAAUCGAGUAGCUAAUAACUUACAACACAGGUACGUCAUCAAUAUACUAAACAGUAAACACAAGUAUAAGUUUCAAGUAUUUACGUCACAGUCUAUUGCAUUAUCUUUUAUACCAUACAAUUCAAUCGAAUGAGGAACUAAUAAUAAGUAUAUAUUAUGAAAUUCCUCUCAAAAAGCACAAUUAUAGAUCUUUGUAUGUAUGUGACAUGUUUACAAGUGUAUGACACUACUUGUUUAAAGCCAUGUAAGAUGGUCCCGGCCGUCUAUGAAGUGAUAUGAAAAUACGUCAUGUCUAUUUUAGCGAGAAGAAAAAUGCUAGAGAAUGUAAAUUCGAAAAUUUU